rnacentral:lncRNA from 1 species
CUAGCAUCUAAUGGGACAAUGGUGCACAAAGGCUGGUACCACCAAGGUGACAGGGUGACCACUUCGAAGAACACCCAGGGCACUUUGACUUUGCAAAGACAGCGACACUGGGCAGGAGCCGGAUCGCGCUGAAGAAAUCAAACAGCACAGGUUCACACGCCACCAGGGAAUGCUGGAAUGUGCCUUUGUUCUGCCUCCAGAUUUAUAGGCCUCCUCCUCCUCCUCCCCACCCCCUCCAGCUUGAUUUACUAUAGUGCAG